rnacentral:rRNA from 1 species
UACAGAGGUCCUCAAAGCGUUGUUCGGAUUCAUUGGGCGUAAAGGGUUGCGUAGGUGGCGCUGUAAGUCGGUGUGAAAUUUCGGAGCUUAACUCCGAAAACUGCAUUCGAUACUGCGGUGCUUGAGGACUGGAGAGGAGAGUGGAAUUCCUGGUGUAGCGGUGAAAUGCGCAGAUACUCCAGGAAGAACACCCGGUGGCUAAGGCGGCUCUCUAGUACGGUACUGACGCUGAGACGCGAAAGCGUGGGGAGCGAACAGG